rnacentral:rRNA from 1 species
AUACGGAGGGUGCAAGCGUUACUCGGAAUCACUGGGCGUAAAGCGCGCGCAGGCGGCUAUUUAAGUUGGAUGUGAAAGCCUAUGGCUCAACCAUAGAACUGCAUCCAAAACUAUUUAGCUAGAGUGUGGGAGAGGAAGAUGGAAUUAGUUGUGUAGGGGUAAAAUCCGUAGAGAUAACUAGGAAUACCAAAAGCGAAGGCAAUCUUCUGGAACACUUCUGACGCUGAGGCGCGAAAGCGUGGGGAGCAAACAGGAGUAGAAACCCUAGUAGUCC